rnacentral:rRNA from 1 species
AUUGAACGCUGGCGGCAGGCCUAACACAUGCAAGUCGAACGGUAACAGGAAGAAGCUUGCUUCUUUGCUGACGAGUGGCGGACGGGUGAGUAAUGUCUGGGAAACUGCCUGAUGGAGGGGGAUAACUACUGGAAACGGUAGCUAAUACCGCAUAACGUCGCAAGACCAAAGAGGGGGACCUUCGGGCCUCUUGCCAUCGGAUGUGCCCAGAUGGGAUUAGCUAGUAGGUGGGGUAACGGCUCACCUAGGCGACGAUCCCUAGCUGGUCUGAGAGGAUGACCAGCCACACUGGAACUGAGACACGGUCCAGACUCCUACGGGAGGCAGCAGUGGGGAAUAUUGCACAAUGGGCGCAAGCCUGAUGCAGCCAUGCCGCGUGUAUGAAGAAGGCCUUCGGGUUGUAAAGUACUUUCAGCGGGGAGGAAGGGAGUAAAGUUAAUACCUUUGCUCAUUGACGUUACCCGCA